rnacentral:rRNA from 1 species
UAUGUGAUCGUCUCUCGCAUAUCAAUAAGCGGAGGAAAAGAAACUAACAAGGAUUCCCCUAGUAACGGCGAGUGAAGCGGGAAGAGCUCAAAUUUGAAAUCUUAAAGGGUUUCCCUUUACGAAUUGUAGUUUAAAGAAGUGUUUUCUGUUGAGGUUUUGGUAAAAGUUCUUUGGAAUAGGACAUCAUAGAGGGUGAGAAUCCCGUAUUUGACCUUUACUUUCAACUUUGUGAUACACUUCAAAGAGUCGGAUUGUUUGGGAAUGCAGUCCAAAAUGGGUGGUAAAUUUCAUCUAAAGCUAAAUAUUGGCGAGAGACCGAUAGCGAACAAGUACCGUGAGGGAAAGGAUGAAAAGAACUUUGAAAAGAGAGUUAAACAGUACGUGAAAUUGUCAAAAGGGAAGCGUUUGACACCAGUGUUGUUUUUCUGAAAAUCAAUUAAAGAACUGUUUAUGCUAAGCUGUUUAGACUUUAUCAGCUAUCUGCUUAGUUUUGAGCUUUUCUUUAAUGCACUUUUCAGUAACAAGUCAACAUCAAUUUCUUUCGCUGUAAAAAAGCUUGAGGAAGGUGGCUUGAGAUUCGUCUUAAGUGUUUAUAGCCUCUUGCCUAUGCAGUCGGAGAGAUUGAGGUCUGCUAGCGUAGAUCCUUCGGGGCUAAAUGCAUUUGUGCUAAGUUAUAGCAUUUUAUAGACAACUUGUUGACUAUGAUUUGUCUUGUAGCUUACUCGCUUAUGUUAUUUUACCUACGCUUAGGAUGUUGAACGCGCACAGAGUCU